rnacentral:rRNA from 1 species
AUACGGAGGGGGUUAGCGUUGUUCGGAAUUACUGGGCAUAAAAGAGCACGUAGGCGGCUCGCUCAGUCGGGUGUGAAAGCCCACGGCCCAACCGUGGAACUGCACCCGAUACUGGCGAGCUCGAGGACGGAAGGGGUGAGUGGAACUCCAGGUGGAACGGUGAAAUGUAUAGAUAUCUGGAGGAACACCGGUGGCGAAAGCGGCUCACUGGUCCGUCUCUGACGCUGAGGUGCGAAAGCUAGGGUAGCGAACGGGAUUAGAUACCCCGGUAGUCCUAGCCGUAAACGAUGAAUGCCAGACGUCAGCAAGCAUGCUUGUUGGUGUCACACCUAACGGAUUAAGCAUUCCGCCUGGGGAGUACGGUCGCAAGAUUAAAACUCAAAGGAAUUGACGGGGCCCGCACAAGCGGUGGAGCAUGUGGUUUAAUUCGAAGCAACGCGCAGAACCUUACCAACCCUUGACAUCCUCGGACCGCCAGAGAGAUCUGG